AACGAACGCUGGCGGCAGGCUUAACACAUGCAAGUCGAGCGAGACCUUCGGGUCUAGCGGCGGACGGGUGAGUAACGCGUGGGAACGUGCCCUUCUCUACGGAAUAGCCCCGGGAAACUGGGAGUAAUACCGUAUACGCCCUUUGGGGGAAAGAUUUAUCGGAGAAGGAUGGGCCCGCGUUGGAGUAGGUAGUUGGUGGGGUAAUGGCCCACCAAGCCGACGAUCCAUAGCGGGUUUGAGAGGAUGAUCAGCCACACUGGGACUGAGACACGGCCCAGACUCCUACGGGAGGCAGCAGUGGGGAAUCUUAGACAAUGGGGGCAAACCUGAUCUAGCCAUGCCGCGUGAGUGAUGAAGGCCUUAGGGUUGUAACGCUCUUUCAGCUGGGAAGAUAAUGACGGUACCAGCAGAAGAAGCCCCGGCUAACUCCGUGCCAGCAGCCGCCGUAAGAC
rnacentral:rRNA from 1 species